rnacentral:lncRNA from 13 species
UGAAGUGCACUAUAAAUGGACGAGGGUACCAUUAGAGAUGUAGACUUGCUUAGGAAAUUAGCCAAAUAUACGCAGCUUGGAAUUUUAACAAUUNNNNNNNNNNACCCUAACCCUAAUCUUAAACCUAACCUAAACACCUAACCCUAACCUAACCUUAACACCUAACUCAUAACCCUAACCUUAAACCUAACUCCUAACCCUAACCUAAUCUUAACACCUAACCCUAACCCAACCUUAACACCUAACCCUAACCUAACCUUAACACCUAACUCCUAACCCUAACAUUGAACCUAACUCCUAACCGUAACCCUUUAACCUAACUCCUAACCCUAACCUUAAACCUAACCUAACCUUAACACCUAACCAUAACCCUAACCUUAAACCUAACUCCUAACCCUAACCUUAAACCUAACCCUAACCUUAAACUUAACAUAAAAUAACCCUAAACCUAACUCCAAACCCUAACCUUAAACCUAACCUAACCUAACCUUAAAACCUAACCCUAACCGUAACCCUUUAACCUAACUCCUAACCCCUAACCUUAAACCUAACCCUAACCUUAAACCUAACUCCUAACCCUAACCUUAAACCUAACCUUCACACCUAACCCUAACUCCUAGCUCUAACCUUAAAUCUAACCUAACCUUAACACCUAGUCCCUANNNNNNNNNNAUGGAGAACUGGUGUGGCUGGAGGUGAGACUGAACUGGUGUGGCUGGAGGUGAGACUGAACUGGUGUGGCUGGAGGUGAGACUGAACUGGUGUGGCUGGUGGGGAGAUUGAACUGGUAUGGCUGGAGGUGAGACAGAGACCUGGUGUGGCUGGAGGUGAGACGGAGAACUGGUGUCUAUUAUCUAUCCUUUACCUACAGUAUACUGUUACUGUCUUAUCUAUCCUUUACCCCUACCUACUGUAUACUGCUACUGUCUAUUAUCUAUCCUUUACCCCUACCUACAGUAUACUGUUACUGUCUUAUCUAUCCUUUACCCCUACCUACUGUAUACUGCUACUGUCUAUUAUCUAUCCUUUACCCCAUGAUACACAUGGGAAACUGUCAAGCGUGGAAAAACCCCCAGCAGUGUUGCAGAUCUUGACGCAGUCAAACCUGUUGUGCCUGGCAUCUACUACCAUAUCCC